UAAGGAAUAUUGGUCAAUGGACGCAAGUCUGAACCAGCCAUGCCGCGUGAAGGAUGAAGGUCCUCAGGAUUGUAAACUUCUUUUAUCUGGGACGAAAAAGGGAUAUUCUUAUCCACUUGACGGUACCAGAGGAAUCAGCACCGGCUAACUCCGUGCCAGCAGCCGCGGUAAUACGGAGGGUGCAAGCGUUAUCCGGAUUCACUGGGUUUAAAGGGUGCGUAGGCGGGUAGGUAAGUCAGUGGUGAAAUCUUCGAGCUUAACUCGGAAAUUGCCGUUGAUACUAUCUAUCUUGAAUGUCGUUGAGGUUUGCGGAAUAUGUCAUGUAGCGGUGAAAUGCUUAGAGAUGACAUAGAACACCUAUUGCGAAGGCAGCAGGCUAAACGAUAAUUGACGCUGAGG
rnacentral:rRNA from 1 species